rnacentral:rRNA from 1 species
AACGAACGCUGGCGGCAGGCCUAACACAUGCAAGUCGAGCGAGACCUUCGGGUCUAGCGGCGGACGGGUUAGUAACGCGUGGGAAUAUGCCCAAAGGUACGGAAUAGCCUCUGGAAACGGAGAGUAAUACCGUAUGUGCCCUUCGGGGAAAGAUUUAUCGCCUUUGGAUUAGCCCGCGUUGGAUUAGAUAGUUGGUGGGGUAAUGGCCUACCAAGUCUACGAUCCAUAGCUGGUUUGAGAGGAUGAUCAGCAACACUGGGACUGAGACACGGCCCAGACUCCUACGGGAGGCAGCAGUGGGGAAUCUUCGGCAAUGGGCGCAAGCCUGACCGAGCCAUGCCGCGUGAGCGAUGAAGGCCUUAGGGUUGUAAGCUCUUCGCCAGGGAUGAUAAUGACAGUACCUGGUAAAGAAACCCGGCUAACUCCGUG